UACGUAGGGUGCAAGCGUUAAUCGGAAUUACUGGGCGUAAAGCGUGCGUAGGCGGUUCGUUAAGUCUGUUGUGAAAGCCCCGGGCUCAACCUGGGAAUGGCAAUGGAUACUGGCGAGCUAGAGUGUGUCAGAGGAUGGUGGAAUUCCCGGUGUAGCGGUGAAAUGCGUAGAGAUCGGGAGGAACAUCAGUGGCGAAGGCGGCCAUCUGGACAACACGUGACGCUGAGGCACGAAAGCGUGGGGAGCAAA
rnacentral:rRNA from 1 species